rnacentral:rRNA from 1 species
AUUGAACGCUGGCGGAAUGCUUUACACAUGCAAGUCGAACGGCAGCACGGGGGCAACCCUGGUGGCGAGUGGCGAACGGGUGAGUAAUACAUCGGAACGUGCCCGGUCGUGGGGGAUAACGUAGCGAAAGUUACGCUAAUACCGCAUACGAUCUGAGGAUGAAAGCGGGGGACCUUCGGGCCUCGCGCGAUCGGAGCGGCCGAUGUCAGAUUAGGUAGUUGGUGGGGUAAAGGCCUACCAAGCCGACGAUCUGUAGCUGGUCUGGGAGGACGACCAGCCACACUGGGACUGAGACACGGCCCAGACUCCUACGGGAGGCAGCAGUGGGGAAUUUUGGACAAUGGGCGCAAGCCUGAUCCAGCCAUUCCGCGUGCAGGACGAAGGCCUUCGGGUUGUAAACUGCUUUUGUAUGGAACGAAAAGGCUCUGGCUAAUACCUGGGGCUCAUGACGGUACCGUAAGAAUAAGCACCGGCUAACUACGUG